rnacentral:lncRNA from 1 species
UUUCUUUUCUUCUUCUCUUUAUACUUUGGUAUUCUAAACCGAUAAUCACUCAAUCGCUAUUACGAUUCAUUUUCCGACCGAUCAAUAUAUCCAAUGGAUGUUUAAGUGCCGCCCACAUUAGGGUUAUACUUUGUCGUUCGUCGUUAAUUCGAUGAAUGUUUAAGUAUCGCACUUUGUCGUUCGUUGUGAGAAUUUGAUCUCGUGAGUUAUCGUAAAAGCUGUAUUGAUCACUAACCCAGUUUAUAAGACUAUACUUUGUAGAAUUCGUUAAGGUUCGAAUCUCGUGACUACCGUUAAGGUUUGAUUUGGGUUUUACACAAAUACGUAUUCCAUUCUGUUAAACUAUGUAUUUAACUACCAAGAAUACUCCCAACUACACCCUUACAAUCAAACAAACUAUUAAAUCAUCAGAAGAUCCAGAAUAAUAAAGUGCAUGCUUAAUUAUCGGAAGAAGUAGAAUCAAGAAGUUUGUUAACUCAAUCCUGCAUGCUGAUUUGUAAUUACAAUAGAUUGGAGUAAGGAUUGGAUCUGACACUGAAGGACUUCAAGAAGUGGCUUAUUCUAUUAAUUAAAUCAACUUAAGAAAUAUUGUUUUUGGGUUUAUCCCGUAUUAAAAGCUACCUUUGUAAAACAUGGAAUUUAUUCCAUCUAUUUAAAUAAAAAUCCGGUGUUUCUAAAACUCUGAUAAUUUUCCUAACUCACGGUCCUGAUGAAAUUUCCGCUGCAAUGUUUUUAAAAUAAUCACCGGUACCAGUUGACUUCUCGCGACUUUCGAUUCCGGCCAGGAUGGGGUCGGGGGUCGUGACACUCACGCGCUCAUGCAUCCCUAUUGUGAAAGUCCGAUGGGAAGGCAAACGAGGCGCGGAGUUCAGUUGGGAACUCGAAAGUGACAUGAAGGCCAAGUACCCGCAGUUGUUUAAAUAGAUCUGAAGCAUCAAAUUGGUAAAUCACGGUGAUGUGCAGCUCUCAGCCUAAUUUCGGGACGAAAUUCCCUAAACAAGGGGAGGCUGUAACACCCCGUGUUUUCGAAUGUCAAAGUCAAAGUCAAAAUUUGACUUUUGACUAUAAAUAGUCUAUUUUAAUUUUUGUAUUAUGUGGAGUAAGUGUUGUCUAAUCUAAACAAUCGAAUGUUAAUCAAAUGU